CGGCAGCAGACGGUCGUACAACCCCAGCCACCGCCCUCCGUCGUGCGGCAGCCCUCGGCCUCCCGCGCGACGAGCGCGCUCUCGCGCGGAUCCAGUGUGUGUGUGUGCACGCGUGUGCGUGCGUGUGUGUCAGUGCGUUCGUGUUCGUGACAGCAGUGUGACGUCAUCCCUAGGCCAAGGAUAAAGUGCAGCGGCCCCGCCCGCACCGCGAUGUGAGCGGCGAGAUGACCAUUCCGUCGCCACCUCGUCCGCCCCAGCCCCCCGCCCCGCUGUGACCAUGAGGAGGCUGUGGGUGUUGACCUUCACCAUGUGCAUCGUGACCUGCGCCACCACGGACUCUCCGCAGACGUCGGCGUUGCCGUCGUCUACCUCCACGAUGGCGCCGACUCCGCCACCGCCGACGACGUCAUCGUCGUUGCCGUCUCCGUCGCCGUCGUCUGCGGCCACGUCGCUGUCCACCUGGCGGACGACGGCGGCGACCUCCCUGCCGCCCGCCGCCGCGCCCCC